UGUCUACAAUGGCAUGCUAGACAGGGACAAUGAACAACAAACAUGGAAGGCCAUACUCAGACAUGGAAGGCCAUACUCGGAGACAGGCUGUGAAUAACACACAGGGAAAAACCACUAGCCGUUGGUGAAGGAGUCUGCAUUAACACGCCUUGCUCAGAGCUUCCCUACUCGCUGCUACUGUGUCUACCUGACAAGCCACGACUUGUUAGUCAGCUUUAUGUGUCUCCAUCUGAUUCAUCUUCCUAUAUCCCUAGUAUGUGGUUACUCUGCCCUUAGCAGGACUUGCUCUUAAAACGUUUCAAGCAUCCAUGAGGUCUGGUGUAAGCAUGAGCGUAAAGAAUGGUUUGUGAAGAGCCUUUUGGAAGUGAAGGAAGGCACAAUAACUUUCUGAAAUACCUGCUUAUAACAGCAUGCCA